GAUGAACGCUGGCGGCGUGCCUAAUACAUGCAAGUCGAGCGAACAGAUAAGGAGCUUGCCCCUUUGACGUUAGCGGCGGACGGGUGAGUAACACGUGGGUAACCUACCUAUAAGACUGGGAUAACUCCGGGAAACCGGGGCUAAUGCCGGAUAACAUUUAGAACCGCAUGGUUCUAAAGUGAAAGAUGGUUUUGCUAUCACUUAUAGAUGGACCCGCGCCGUAUUAGCUAGUUGGUAAGGUAACGGCUUACCAAGGCAACGAUACGUAGCCGACCUGAGAGGGUGAUCGGCCACACUGGAACUGAGACACGGUCCAGACUCCUACGGGAGGCAGCAGUAGGGAAUCUUCCGCAAUGGGCGAAAGCCUGACGGAGCAACGCCGCGUGAGUGAUGAAGGUCUUCGGAUCGUAAAACUCUGUUAUUAGGGAAGAACAAAUGUGUAAGUAACUGUGCACGUCUUGACGGUACCUAAUCAGAAAGCCACGGCUAACUACGUG
rnacentral:rRNA from 1 species